rnacentral:rRNA from 1 species
UACGUAGGGGGCGAGCGUUGUCCGGAUUUAUUGGGCGUAAAGAGCUCGUAGGCGGUUUGUCGCGUCUGCUGUGAAAACCUGAGGCUCAACCUCGGGCUUGCAGUGGGUACGGGCAGACUAGAGUGCGGUAGGGGUGACUGGAAUUCCUGGUGUAGCGGUGGAAUGCGCAGAUAUCAGGAGGAACACCGAUGGCGAAGGCAGGUCACUGGGCCGCAACUGACGCUGAGGAGCGAAAGCAUGGGGAGCGAACAGG